rnacentral:sRNA from 1 species
AGACACCACCCCGCACGCGGGGAGGUGACCGUUGGGCCCAAACAGGCGGCGUCACCAGCCAAUCAAUAUGCUUCCAGACGUUUCAGCGACCAAUUAGGAAGAACGCCUCCGAUCCAGCCAGCGUCCCAUGCUCGGUGGCCCCAGAAAAGUCAGUGUGUAGGCCUCAGCCACUUCAGGUCCGGCGUACAUUCUCCCUGGACACCAUCCUCAGCUCCUACCUUCUGGGCCAGUGGCCACGAGAUGCUGAUGGGGCCUUCACCUGCUGCACCAAUGACAAGGCCACCCAGACACCCCUGUCCUGGCAAGAGCUAGAAGGUGAGCGUGCCAGCUUCUGUGCACACAAGCGCUCAGCAUCCUGGGGCAGCACAGACCACCGAAAAGAGAUUUCCAAGUUGAAGCAACAACUGCAGAGGACGAAGCUGAGCCGCAGUGGGAAAGAGAAGGAGCGAGGUUCCCCACUCCCAGGGGACCAUGCAGUGCGGGGAGCACUGAGGGCGUCCCCUCCCAGCUUCCCCUCAGGGUCCCCUGUCUUGCGACUCAGCCCCUGCCUGCACAGGAGCCUGGAAGGGCUCAACCAAGAGCUGGAGGAGGUGUUUGUGAAGGAGCAGGGAGAAGAGGAGCUGCUGAGGAUCCUUGAUAUCCCUGAUGGGCAUCGGGCCCCAGCUCCUCCCCAGAGUGGCAGCUGUGAUCAUCCCCUCCUCCUCCUGGAGCCUGGCAACCUUGCCAGCUCUCCUUCCA